rnacentral:rRNA from 1 species
AUUGAACGCUGGCGGCACGCCUAACACAUGCAAGUCGAGCGGAGCGGCGGACGGGUGAGUAAUGCCUAGGAAUGUGCCUGGUAGUGGGGGAUAACGUCCGGAAACGGGCGCUAAUACCGCAUACUAUCAGAUGAGCCUAGGUCGGAUUAGCUAGUUGGUGGGGUGAAGGCCUACCAAGGCGACGAUCCGUGACUGGUCUGAGAGGAUGAACAGUCACACUGGAACUGAGACACGGUCCAGACUCCUACGGGAGGCAACGUUGGGGAAUAUUGGACAAUGGGCGAAAGCCUGAUCCAGCCAUGCCGCUUGUGUGAGGAAGGUCUUCGGAUUGUAAAGCACUUUAAGUUGGGAGGCGUUACCAACAGAAUAGGCACCGGCUAACUACGUGCCAGCGGCCGCGGUAAUUC